GACGAACGCUGGCGGCGUGCUUAACACAUGCAAGUCGAACGGUAAGGCCCUUCGGGGUACACGAGUGGCGAACGGGUGAGUAACACGUGGGUGAUCUGCCCUGCACUUCGGGAUAAGCCUGGGAAACUGGGUCUAAUACCGGAUAGGACUCCUGGCUUCAUGGUUGGGGGUGGAAAGCUUUUGCGGUGUGGGAUGGGCCCGCGGCCUAUCAGCUUGUUGAUGGGGUAAUGGCCUACCAAGGCGACGACGGGUAGCCGGCCUGGGAGGGUGACCGGUCACACUGGGACUGGGAGACGGCCCAGACUCCUACGGGAGGCAGCAGUGGGGAAUAUUGCACAAUGGGCGCAAGCCUGACGCAGCGACGCCGCGUGAGGGAUGACGGCCUUCGGGUUGUAAACCUCUUUCAGCUAUGACGAAGCGCAAGUGACGGUAGUAGCAGAAGAAGGACCGGCCAACUACGUGCCAGCAGCCGCCGCAG
rnacentral:rRNA from 1 species